GAUGAAGUCAUCUUAAGAGAAUAAAACAAACAAGGGGAAGUGAUGAUAUCUGGGAGAUGUUGCUCAAGCAACAGUUGCUCCCUUCCACUCUUUACACUCUCCACAUCUAUAGACUAUCAAGUCUGAAAUCUUUGGACAGAAAGGGACUUAAAAACAUCACUUCUCUUUCCUUUCUGAGUAUCUCCAAGUGUUUUUCCCGGUAGAAAAGGUAUAAGAAGAUGACAGGAAAAGAUUGGGCCAACAUAUCUCACAUUCCUUGCAUCAAGAUAGGCCACGAAGUGAUCAUAUGAGAUGAGCUCUCUCUCUCUCUCUCUCUCUCUCUCUCUCUCUCACACACAUUCCUGGAAGUCAUCAUAUGUCCCACAAAUCAUUCCUUCAGCUGCAAAGUUCCAUUUGAUGACACUUGAAAUGUUGUAUGUAUACUUGUAGACUCAUGUUUGGAGGUCAAAGAAACUUGUGUAGGCAACCAUGCAUGAUUUCAGAGUCGAAGCUGCUUCACUGGCCUUUCUGUGCUCGCUUCUGUAAAGGUAUAUCAGAUUAGUUUGUCAUCAAGAUUUAAUAUGGUUCACUUUUUUGUUGCUUUCCUAUUACCAUCAAUUUUCUUAUUCCAAAUUGGAUUGGUAGGAUCAAACCAAGCAGGUUCAUACAUUGAAUGUAUGACAUCAUCAGCGUUUCAGACAGAAAAUGGGCCUUGAAUUGUGUUCUGAGCCAGUGGAUUUUUCUAGAAUCUAAAGUGCAAUGGAAAAUUACUGAAGUGAUCUACACGAAGAGUAAACAUUUUUUCUGUUGGAUGCUGGAGGUGCCUCUUAUAAGUGGCUAAGUUGCAAUAUGUGGUGUCAUCAAAUGCUCUGCAAAAAGCAGUUCAAGUUGAGACUGGAGCUGAACAAGGAUCAGGUCAGCUGUAUAUUUCGUGGAACAGACCCAGCAUGUUCAUACAUGGCUUGGCUCACUUCAUCUUCUUUUGAGACAGAAAAUCAGCCUUCAACCGUCUGCUGAUACAAUAGACUUUUCUAUAUAUCUCAAGUGCAAUGGAAAAUUGCAGACUUACAUAAAGAUUCGCAAAGAUUUCUGUUUGAAAUUUUCUACCAGAGGCUGGAAAUGCUGCUUAUAAGUGGCUAAGUUGCAAAAAAUUGUAGGAUUGAAGGCUCUGCAGACUGCACAGAGGUAAGAAGUCAUCGUCAUCAAGUAACUCCUGAAUGGCUGCAUCUUAGAAGAAUGACACUGAAUCUGUAUAGCUCAUCUUCAAUCUAAAGAUUAGAAGUCACAUGAAAAAGUGUUGUAUUCUUUUGUCCUCUAUUGUAGUUUAUUUGGUGCUCUUUUGACUUUUAGAGGUGUUUUCAAAUUUGAGAAUCCAGUAAAUGCAUGCGUACAUAUAUUGAAAGUAUUCCAUAUGAUUUCUUCU